rnacentral:rRNA from 1 species
AGAGUUUGAUCAUGGCUCAGAUUGAACGCUGGCGGCAUGCCUUACACAUGCAAGUCGAACGGCAGCACGGGGGCAACCCUGGUGGCGAGUGGCGAACGGGUGAGUAAUACAUCGGAACGUGUCCUGUAGUGGGGGAUAGCCCGGCGAAAGCCGGAUUAAUACCGCAUACGCUCUACGGAGGAAAGGGGGGGAUCUUAGGACCUCCCGCUACAGGGGCGGCCGAUGGCAGAUUAGCUAGUUGGUGGGGUAAAGGCCUACCAAGGCGACGAUCUGUAGCUGGUCUGAGAGGACGACCAGCCACACUGGGACUGAGACACGGCCCAGACUCCUACGGGAGGCAGCAGUGGGGAAUUUUGGACAAUGGGGGCAACCCUGAUCCAGCAAUGCCGCGUGUGUGAAGAAGGCCUUCGGGUUGUAAAGCACUUUUGUCCGGAAAGAAAACGCCGUGGUUAAUACCCGUGGCGGAUGACGGUACCGGAAGAAUAAGCACCGGCUAACUACGUGCCAGCAGCCGCGGUAAUACGUAGGGUGCAAGCGUUAAUCGGAAUUACUGGGCGUAAAGCGUGCGCAGGCGGUCCGCUAAGACAGAUGUGAAAUCCCCGGGCUUAACCUGGGAACUGCAUUUGUGACUGGCGGGCUAGAGUAUGGCAGAGGGGGGUAGAAUUCCACGUGUAGCAGUGAAAUGCGUAGAGAUGUGGAGGAAUACCGAUGGCG